rnacentral:rRNA from 1 species
UGGUGGAGUGAUUUGUCUGGUUAAUUCCGAUAACGAACGAGACCUCGACCUGCUAAAUAGUACCCAGGAAUUUCGGUUCCUUGGGGACUUCUUAGAGGGACUAUUAGUUCAAUCUAAUGGAAGUUCGAGGCAAUAACA